rnacentral:rRNA from 1 species
AUGGUCCAUCUUCACCAUCCUCUGCUCCUUGAAUCCAUACCCGUCAACCAGAUACAGGUCGAGCCUCAACCAAUCGGGGUCUGCAGCACCACCAGCAGGCGCCGCCUCGUUCUCCAUCGGGAUCGAAGCCCCCUCCGUCGAGAUCGAUCGAUUCCGAGGGUGGAUAGUGUAGGCCGGGUGCCCUGCCGUGCCGUACAUAUAGUCGUCCCAAGGGCUCGCCCUAAUCGAAACGGACUCCUUAGCAGACGGCCCAUGGACGUCUACCACAGCCCUAAUUUCAGUGAUUCGAAGCCUAGACUAUGUGCUUCGGCCACCUGA